rnacentral:rRNA from 1 species
UAGGGAAUCUUCGGCAAUGGACGAAAGUCUGACCGAGCAACGCCGCGUGAGUGAAGAAGGUUUUCGGAUCGUAAAACUCUGUUGUUAGAGAAGAACAAGAACGUUAGUAACUGAACGUCCCCUGACGGUAUCUAACCAGAAAGCCACGGCUAACUACGUGCCAGCAGCCGCGGUAAUACGUAGGUGGCAAGCGUUGUCCGGAUUUAUUGGGCGUAAAGCGAGCGCAGGCGGUUUCUUAAGUCUGAUGUGAAAGCCCCCGGCUCAACCGGGGAGGGUCAGUGGAAACUGGGAGACUUGAGUGCAGAAGAGGAGAGUGGAAUUCCAUGUGUAGCGGUGAAAUGCGUAGAUAUAUGGAGGAACACCAGUGGCGAAGGCGGCUCUCUGGUCUGUAACUGACGCUGAGGCUCGAAAGCGUGGGGAGCAAACAGG